GUUAUAUGGUCAAGUGAAGAAGCGCAUACGGUGGAUGCCUUGGCAGUCAGAGGCGAUGAAAGACGUGGUAGCCUGCGAAAAGCUUCGGGGAGUCGGCAAACAGACUGUGAUCCGGAGAUGUCUGAAUGGGGGAACCCAGCCAUCACAAGAUGGUUAUCUUACGCUGAAUACAUAGGUGUAAGAGGCGAACCAGGGGAACUGAAACAUCUAAGUACCCUGAGGAAAAGAAAUCAACCGAGAUUCCCUUAGUAGUGGCGAGCGAACGGGGACCAGCCCUUAAGUUGUAUUGAGAUUAGCGGAACGCUCUGGAAAGUGCGGCCAUAGUGGGUGAUAGCCCUGUACGCGAAAAUCCCUUUGCAAUGAAAUCGAGUAGGACGGGGCACGAGAAACCUUGUCUGAAUAUGGGGGGACCAUCCUCCAAGGCUAAAUACUACUGACUGACCGAUAGUGAACCAGUACCGUGAGGGAAAGGCGAAAAGAACCGCGGAGAGCGGAGUGAAAUAGAUCCUGAAACCGUAUGCGUACAAGCAGUGGGAGCCCACUUUGUUGGGUGACUGCGUACCUUUUGUAUAAUGGGUCAGCGACUUAUUUUCAGUGGCGAGCUUAACCGAAUAGGGGAGGCGUAGCGAAAGCGAGUCUUAAUAGGGCGUCUAGUCGCUGGGAAUAGACCCGAAACCGGGCGAUCUAUCCAUGGGCAGGUUGAAGGUUGGGUAACACUAACUGGAGGACCGAACCGACUACCGUUGAAAAGUUAGCGGAUGACCUGUGGAUCGGAGUGAAAGGCUAAUCAAGCUCGGAGAUAGCUGGUUCUCCUCGAAAGCUAUUUAGGUAGCGCCUCAUGUAUCACUGUAGGGGGUAGAGCACUGUUUCGGCUAGGGGGUCAUCCCGACUUACCAAACCGAUGCAAACUCCGAAUACCUACAAGUGCCGAGCAUGGGAGACACACGGCGGGUGCUAACGUCCGUCGUGAAAAGGGAAACAACCCAGACCGUCAGCUAAGGUCCCAAAGUCAUGGUUAAGUGGGAAACGAUGUGGGAAGGCUUAGACAGCUAGGAGGUUGGCUUAGAAGCAGCCACCCUUUAAAGAAAGCGUAAUAGCUCACUAGUCGAGUCGGCCUGCGCGGAAGAUGUAACGGGGCUCAAACCAUGCACCGAAGCUACGGGUAUCACCUUUGGUGAUGCGGUAGAGGAGCGUUCUGUAAGCCUGUGAAGGUGAGUUGAGAAGCUUGCUGGAGGUAUCAGAAGUGCGAAUGCUGACAUGAGUAACGACAAUGGGUGUGAAAAACACCCACGCCGAAAGACCAAGGUUUCCUGCGCAACGUUAAUCGACGCAGGGUUAGUCGGUCCCUAAGGCGAGGCUGAAAAGCGUAGUCGAUGGAAAACAGGUUAAUAUUCCUGUACUUCUGGUUAUUGCGAUGGAGGGACGGAGAAGGCUAGGCCAGCCUGGCGUUGGUAGUCCAGGUUUAAGGUGGUAGGCUGAGAUCUUAGGUAAAUCCGGGAUCUUAAGGCCGAGAGCUGAUGACGAGUGUUCUUUUAGAACAUGAAGUGGUUGAUGCCAUGCUUCCAAGAAAAGCUUCUAAGCUUCAGGUAACCAGGAACCGUACCCCAAACCGACACAGGUGGUUGGGUAGAGAAUACCAAGGCGCUUGAGAGAACUCGGGUGAAGGAACUAGGCAAAAUGGCACCGUAACUUCGGGAGAAGGUGCGCCGGUGAGGGUGAAGCAUUUACUGCGUAAGCCCACGCCGGUCGAAGAUACCAGGCCGCUGCGACUGUUUAUUAAAAACACAGCACUCUGCAAACACGAAAGUGGACGUAUAGGGUGUGACGCCUGCCCGGUGCCGGAAGGUUAAUUGAUGGGGUUAGCGCAAGCGAAGCUCUUGAUCGAAGCCCCGGUAAACGGCGGCCGUAACUAUAACGGUCCUAAGGUAGCGAAAUUCCUUGUCGGGUAAGUUCCGACCUGCACGAAUGGCGUAACGAUGGCGGCGCUGUCUCCACCCGAGACUCAGUGAAAUUGAAAUCGCUGUGAAGAUGCAGUGUAUCCGCGGCUAGACGGAAAGACCCCGUGAACCUUUACUAUAGCUUUGCACUGGACUUUGAAUUUGCUUGUGUAGGAUAGGUGGGAGGCUUUGAAGCGUGGACGCCAGUCUGCGUGGAGCCAACCUUGAAAUACCACCCUGGCAACUUUGAGGUUCUAACUCAGGUCCGUUAUCCGGAUCGAGGACAGUGUAUGGUGGGUAGUUUGACUGGGGCGGUCUCCUCCUAAAGAGUAACGGAGGAGUACGAAGGUGCGCUCAGACCGGUCGGAAAUCGGUCGUAGAGUAUAAAGGCAAAAGCGCGCUUGACUGCGAGACAGACACGUCGAGCAGGUACGAAAGUAGGUCUUAGUGAUCCGGUGGUUCUGUAUGGAAGGGCCAUCGCUCAACGGAUAAAAGGUACUCCGGGGAUAACAGGCUGAUACCGCCCAAGAGUUCAUAUCGACGGCGGUGUUUGGCACCUCGAUGUCGGCUCAUCACAUCCUGGGGCUGAAGCCGGUCCCAAGGGUAUGGCUGUUCGCCAUUUAAAGUGGUACGCGAGCUGGGUUUAGAACGUCGUGAGACAGUUCGGUCCCUAUCUGCCGUGGACGUUUGAGAUUUGAGAGGGGCUGCUCCUAGUACGAGAGGACCGGAGUGGACGAACCUCUGGUGUUCCGGUUGUCACGCCAGUGGCAUUGCCGGGUAGCUAUGUUCGGAAAAGAUAACCGCUGAAAGCAUCUAAGCGGGAAACUUGCCUCAAGAUGAGAUCUCACUGGAACCUAGAGUUCCCUGAAGGGCCGUCGAAGACUACGACGUUGAUAGGUUGGGUGUGUAAGCGCUGUGAGGCGUUGAGCUAACCAAUACUAAUUGCCCGUGAGGCUUGACCAUAUAACACCCAAGCAAUU
rnacentral:rRNA from 2 species